CGGGCAGUGAAAAAGUCGAAAUUGUAGACUGCCAAGGUGCAGGAAAGAAAUGUCGGAAGCGCAAGAAGUGUCUGUUUCGUUGUUGUUGGAUGGGGAUAAACGGUGGAUCAUUGGCCACUGUGCCGUGUAAUGAUGUCAAUAAGAAAGAUCCCAGCGAGCAAUCGCAUCUGGCGAGGCGUGUGUGAAUCCGCUGUCGGACUUCGUCCUUCGUUUGAAGCUAAGACAUCAACAGAUCUGCUUCAUCGCCAGUGCCAGCCGAACUGACGAAGAUCCUGAUUCUAGAAUAAUACCGGAUAAAGACUUGGCUCGAGUUGGUUAGAAAUCAACAUCGAAAUGCACACCACCGAGGGUGCUGUGCAAGAAUCGCGUCCGCGGCCAUAACCACUGACAAGGUAGAUCUUCAGAAAUAUGUAGUGGAAAUUCGGUGGCAACAGUUGCGUGAUUUUUACAUUCGUAGAAAGUCAACCUGCAUCAAUUCAGAAAAAAAUAUGAAAUCCAUUUCAAAUUUGCAAAUCGCAAAUAUUUAGCAUUUAUUGCUAAGACAAAACAAUAUUAUAUUAUCUAUGUGCUAGUUGCAGUUAACUAAACUAAAGUUCAAUUAAAAUCAAAUUAAAUUUUAAUUGAAAUUCAAUUAUAAUUUAAUAAAAAUUAAAUCCAAACUUAAAUUCAAUUAGGAUUUAUAAAAACUUCAUUGAAAUUUUAUUAAUUCUCUAUAAAAAAUCAGUUUAAAAUAAAUUAAAAUUUAAUUAGAGAUAAUUGAAAAGUUAAUUAAGAUACCAUUAAAAUUUAAUUUAAGUUAUAUUAAAGUUAUGCAGAUAGAAAUAUAUCAAAA